AACGAACGCUGGCGGCAGGCCUAACACAUGCAAGUCGAACGCAUCCUUCGGGGUGAGUGGCGCACGGGUGAGUAACACGUGGGAAUGUACCCUUUGGUUCGGAAUAACGUUUGGAAACGAACGCUAAUACCGGAUGAGCCCUACGGGGGAAAGAUUUAUCGCCAAAGGAGCAGCCCGCGUCUGAUUAGCUAGUUGGUGGGGUAAAGGCCUACCAAGGCGACGAUCAGUAGCUGGUCUGAGAGGAUGAUCAGCCACACUGGGACUGAGACACGGCCCAGACUCUUACGGGAGGCAGCAGUGGGGAAUAUUGGACAAUGGGCGCAAGCCUGAUCCAGCCAUGCCGCGUGAGUGAUGAAGGCCUUCGGGUUGUAAAGCUCUUUCGCACGCGACGAUGAUGACGGUAGCGUGAGAAGAAGCCCCGGCUAACUUCGUGCCAGCAGCCGCCGCCG
rnacentral:rRNA from 1 species